AGAGUUUGAUCAUGGCUCAGAGUGAACGCUGGCGGCGUGCUUAACACAUGCAAGUCGAACGAGAACGGGUUACAGCUUGCUGUAACUGUCAGCUAAGUGGCGCACGGGUGAGUAAUAUAUAGGUAACAUGCCCCAAAGAAGAGGAUAACGUUUGGAAACGAACGCUAAUACUCUAUAUGCCUUUAAGUCAUAAGACUGCAAGGGAAAUAUUUAUAGCUUUGGGAUUGGCCUGUACAGUAUCAGCUAGUUGGUGAGGUAAUGGCUCACCAAGGCUAUGACGCUUAACUGGUUUGAGAGGAUGAUCAGUCACACUGGAACUGAGACACGGUCCAGACUCCUACGGGAGGCAGCAGUGGGGAAUAUUGCACAAUGGACGAAAGUCUGAUGCAGCAACGCCGCGUGGAGGAUGACACAUUUCGGUGCGUAAACUCCUUUUAUAUAGGAAGAUAAUGACGGUACUAUAUGAAUAAGCACCGGCUAACUCCGUGCCAGCAGCCGCGGUAAUACGGAGGGUGCAAGCGUUACUCGGAAUCACUGGGCGUAAAGAGAAUGUAGGCGGGUUAAUAAGUUGGAAGUGAAAUCCUAUGGCUCAACCAUAGAACUGCUUUCAAAACUGUUGACCUAGAAUAUGGGAGAGGUAGAUGGAAUUUCUGGUGUAGGGGUAAAAUCCGUAGAGAUCAGAAGGAAUACCGAUUGCGAA
rnacentral:rRNA from 1 species